rnacentral:rRNA from 1 species
UACAGAGGGGGCAAGCGUUGUUCGGAAUUACUGGGCGUAAAGGGCGCGUAGGUGGCCUGUUAAGUCGAACGUGAAAUCCCCGGGCUCAACCCGGGAACUGCGUCCGAUACUGGCAGGCUUGAAUCCGGGAGAGGGAUGUGGAAUUCCAGGUGUAGCGGUGAAAUGCGUAGAUAUCUGGAGGAACACCGGUGGCGAAGGCGGCAUCCUGGACCGGUAUUGACGCUGAGGCGCGAAAGCCAGGGGAGCAAACGGG